rnacentral:rRNA from 1 species
GACGAACGCUGGCGGCGUGCUUAACACAUGCAAGUCGAACGGAAAGGCCCUGCUUUUGUGGGGUGCUCGAGUGGCGAACGGGUGAGUAACACGUGAGUAACCUGCCCUUGACUUUGGGAUAACUUCAGGAAACUGGGGAUAAUACCGGAUAGGAGCUCCUGCUGCAUGGUGGGGGUUGGAAAGUUUCGGCGGUUGGGGAUGGACUCGCGGCUUAUCAGCUUGUUGGUGGGGUAGUGGCUUACCAAGGCUUUGACGGGUAGCCGGCCUGAGAGGGUGACCGGCCACAUUGGGACUGAGAUACGGCCCAGACUCCUACGGGAGGCAGCAGUGGGGAAUAUUGCACAGUGGGCGGAAGCGUGAUGCAGCAACGCCGCGUGCGGGAUGACGGCCUUCGGGUUGUAAACCGCUUUCGCCUGUGACGAAGCGUGAGUGACGGUAAUGGGUAAAGAAGCACCGGCUAACUACGUG